UUUUUAAAAAAUAAUUAAAAAUUUUUAUUUAAAAUUUAAAAUGGAUUUCUAAAAUUUUAUAAGCGAAGAAGAUCAAAAUGUAACUUUUGAAUAUUUAUAUGUUUUUAAAAUAUUAUAUUUAAUAUAAUAAAAAAUAUAAAAUUAUCGAAUAUAUAAUAUAUAUAUUUUAAUAUAAUUAUAUAGAUUACUUAAAGAACUGAAUCAUCUUAGUAUUUAAAGGAAUAAAAUGUAACAACGAUUUUCUUAGUAGCGGCGAGCGAAAAGAAAUAAAAAAUAAUAUUAUUUUGCAAUAAUAUAUAGUUAUAACUAGUUAAAUAAUAUGUAAAACAAAUAUAUAAUUUGUUUGAUUUUAUAUUUAUUUAGUACUAUCUAAAAAAAAUUUUAAUAUUAUAAAAUUUUAUAGCGUACUAGUACUGUGAAGGAAAGAUGAAAAGAUUUUGGAUAAAAAAGUGAAAAGAACAUGAAAUUUUAAAUUUUAUAAAGUUUAUUUAAUUGGAUUUUAAUUUAAUUCAAUUAAAUGCUUGUUGAAGAAUGAGUCGGCGAGUUAUAAUUAUUUAUUGAAUACUAUAUUACUUGUAUAUUAAAUAAUAAUAAAUUUUAUAAGAGAUAACUCGAGUUUUAAAAAAACAAUUUAAUAUAAAUAAUUAUAGACCCGAACCCAAAUGAUCUAAUUAUGUUAAGAAAAUAUAUUUAAUAUAUAUAAUAUAUUGUUCGAACUAAUUGAUGUUGCAAAAUCAUUAGAUUAAGUGUAAUUAGAGGUGAAAUGCUAAUCGAAUUUGGAGCUAGCUGGUUUUCUCUGAAAUGUAUUUAAGUACAGAUAAAUAUAAAUAAUAAAAGAUAAAGCUCUAUAUUAUAUGUAUAUUAAGUAUUAUUACUAAUAUAUAUAUUAAGUAAACUAUAAAUUAUUAUUAUAAAAUUAUUAUAUGUUUAUAUAAUAUAUUUUAUAUAUUUAUAUGAAAUUGAGACUAUUAGGGUUAAGCUUAAUAUGUCAAGAGGGAAACAGCCCUCAAUAUAAAAUAAGGUUUUUAAAUAUAUGCUUAGUAUAAGAAAUUUAGUUAUGAUUAUGGCUAAAAUAUAAGCUUUCAAGCGGCUAUUAUUUAAAGAGUGGUAUUGAGCACAUUAGAACAGUAAUUAAAUAUCAUAAAUAAUAGAAAAUAAGUAUAUUACCGAAUUUGUAAAUUUAAAUAACAUUUAUUAACAGUUAUUUAAAUAGUAAGAGAACGUUUUAUUUAUAUUAAUAAUUUAUAUGUAAAUAUAAAUCUAUAUAUAAAUAUAAAUAAAAGUGAUAAUGCCGAUUUAAGUAAUAAAAUAUUAGAUAUAAAUCUAAUACUCCUAAUGUUUAUAGAUUUCCUAUUAAAUGAAUUUAUCAAAUAGGGUUAGUCGAAGUCUAAAAAUAAAUAUUUAAUGUAUUUGAUGAUUAAUUAAGUUAAUAUUCUUAUACUAUAUUAAAAUACAAUUUAUAUUAAAAUUUAAUAAUGUUUUUUAUUUAUAUUAGUAUAAUUUGUAAUAUAAAAAUAUUAUUAACUGGAAAUGUUUAAAUUUAAAAUAUUUUAAUAUAUUCGUAUUAAAUCUGACACAUGUAAACGAGUAGAAAAUAUACUAAGGAGAUGAAUAAAUUUUCUUUAAGGAACUAGGCAAAAUGAUUCUGUAACUUAGGGAUAAAGAAUGCUUUUAAAGUAUAAUAUACUAGGCUCAAACGACUGUUUAUCAAAAACACAGGUUCUUGCUAAAUUUAAUUAUGAUGUAUAAGAACUGACUCCUGCCCAGUUCUAGUAAGUGAAAAAAAAAUGCUACUAUAAUGUAUUUUUUUAAGCUCUAGUUAAACGGCGGCUGUAUUCAUAACGGUCCAAAGGUAGCGAAAUUCCUUGUCGGGUAAGUUCCGACCUGCAUGAAAGGAGUAACGAUUUGAGCGCUGUCUUAAAGAAAAUUUCAAUGAAAUAAUAAUGUCUGUGAAGAUACGGACUAUUUACACAAGGACAGAAAGACCCUAUGAAGCUUUACUAUAGUUUAUAAGUACAAUUUAUAUAAUAUUUAUACAGAAUAUAUGGUUAAAUUAAAUAUUAAAUUUAAUUUUAUAAAUGAAAUACCAUUUUAAUAUUAUAAAAUUGGUAAUAAUGUUAAAUAUAAUAAUUUAAUUAAAAAAUUUAUAAAUGUGGUAGUUUUACUGGGGCGGUAUCCUCCUAAAUAGUAACGGAGGAGAACUAAGGGCAUUUAAAUAAUAUCUAUAAGGAUAUUAUUAAAUUUUAAAGAAUAAUAAUGCCUUAACUGUUAAAUAAACUUAUUAUACAGAAAUUAAUGUUGGUCUUAAUGAUCCGAUAAAUAACAUUAAUAGAUGUAUUAUCGAUAAACGGAUAAAAGUUACUCUAGGGAUAACAGGCUGAUCUCUCCCGAGAGACUUGAUAUUGACGGGGAGGUUUGGCACCUCGAUGUCGGCUUAUCGCAUCCUGAAGCUGAAUAAGGUUUCAAGGGUUGGUUUGUUCACCCAAUAAAGCGGUACGUGAGCUGGGUUCAGAACGUCGCAAGACAGUUUGGUCCAUAUCCGGUGUAAAUUAAUAAAACAUUGCAAUAAUUCUUUUUAGUACGAAAGGAAUAAAGGAACUAUAUUAAUUGUGUACUAGUUAUUUAAUUUUAUUAAGUAAAUUAUUAGGUAGCAACAUAUAGGUAAAAAAUAAUUGCUGAAAAAAUAUAAGCAAGAAUAUGCGUUUAAAUAUGUUUUAAUAAAAAUAAAAAAUUAUGUAUAUUACAUAACUAUACUAUAUAAUAUUUAGUGUACAUAUAGAGAUGUAUUUAGCUAUAUUAUGUAUAAAUUUAAAAUUUUUAAUUA
rnacentral:rRNA from 1 species